UACGUAGGGUGCGAGCGUUAAUCGGAAUUACUGGGCGUAAAGCGUGCGCAGGCGGCGGCUCAAGUCAGGUGUGAAAUCCCCGGGCUUAACCUGGGAAUUGCGCUUGAAACUAGGCUGCUUGAGUGUGGCAGAGGGGGGUGGAAUUCCACGUGUAGCAGUGAAAUGCGUAGAGAUGUGGAGGAACACCGAUGGCGAAGGCAGCCCCCUGGGUCAACACUGACGCCCAUGCACGAAAGCGUGGGGAGCAAACAGG
rnacentral:rRNA from 1 species